CCACUGUUUUUAGAUCCUGAGCAUGAUGUGCUGAGGUAUUGAAUAUGUCUUUGGCUAGUUUGGGUCAGAUGUCCUGUCUCUGCUCCCUCCCAGCUUCUUCUGCACC